GCUAAGUGCCGAGCUGAAAUGGAAAAGGCAUUAAAGCCUAAUGAGGAGGUGACUAUCAUGAAGGUCUGGUGGUGAAGAUCUUGCAAGAAGGUGCCUUGUUUGAGAUCUUUCAAGGAAACACAGUACUCAAUAAAUGUGGUUCGGUGUACAGUUGAGCCUUGAGCAACAUGGAUUUGAACUGCAUGGGGCCACUUAAAUGUGCAUUUUCUUAUGACUCCGCUGCUCUUGAGACAGCAAGAUCAAGCCCCCUCCUCCUCAGCCAACUCAACGUGAAGACAAUGAAGAUCAAGAUCUUUAAGAUGAUCCACUUCCACUUAAUGAAUAAUAAAUAUAUUUUGUCGUUAUGAUUUUCCUAA
rnacentral:lncRNA from 10 species